UGCGAAGAUUAUUUUUAUGUGGAGGGAUAAUUAAUUAUAAUUCUAUAAUGAGUUUAUUAAUAAUUUUAUUAUGUAUUUGUAAUAUGGGAGCUCCUCCAUUUAUUAAUUUGCGAUGGGAAGAGGGUCGAGUAGGG